UACAGGGGGUGCAAACGUUGCUCGGAAUUAUUGGGCGUAAAGGGCUCGUAGGCGGCCAACUAAGUCGGACGUGAAAUCCCCAGGCUCAACCUGGGAACUGCGUCUGAUACUGGAUGGCUUGAAUCCGGGAGAGGGAUGCAGAAUUCCAGGUGUAGCGGUGAAAUGCGUAGAUAUCUGGAGGAAUACCGGUGGCGAAGGCGGCAUCCUGGACCGGCACUGACGCUGAGGCGCGAAAGCUAGGGGAGCAAACGGG
rnacentral:rRNA from 1 species